UACGUGGGGGGCUAGCGUUGUCCGGAUUUAUUGGGCGUAAAGAGCGUGUAGGCGGCCUGGUAGGUCUGCUGUGAAAACUCGAGGCUCAACCUCGAGAUGUCGGCGGAAACCAUCUGGCUAGAGUCCGGAAGAGGAGAGUGGAAUUCCUGGUGUAGCGGUGAAAUGCGCAGAUAUCAGGAAGAACACCUAUGGCGAAGGCAGCUCUCUGGGACGGUACUGACGCUGAGACGCGAAAGCGUGGGGAGCGAACAGG
rnacentral:rRNA from 1 species